rnacentral:rRNA from 1 species
GAUGAACGCUGGCGGCGUGCUUAACACAUGCAAGUCGAACGGAAAGGCCCAAGCUUGCUUGGGUACUCGAGUGGCGAACGGGUGAGUAACACGUGGGUGAUCUGCCCUGCACUUCGGGAUAAGCCUGGGAAACUGGGUCUAAUACCGGAUAGGACGAUGGUUUGGAUGCCAUUGUGGAAAGUUUUUUCGUUGUGGGAUGAGCUCGCGGCCUAUCAGCUUGUUGGUGGGGUAAUGGCCUACCAAGGCGUCGACGGGUAGCCGGCCUGAGAGGGUGUACGGCCACAUUGGGACUGGGAUACGGCCCAGAGUCCUACGGGAGGCAGCAGUGGGGAAUAUUGCACAAUGGGCGCAAGCCUGAUGCAGCGACGCCGCGUGGGGGAUGACGGCCUUCGGGUUGUAAACUCCUUUCGCUAGGGACGAAGCGUUUUUGUGACGGUACCUGGAGAAGAAGCACCGGCUAACUACGUG